CCCCAUCUGGCUUUUAAAAGCAUCUCUGCCCUUCUUCCUUGCCGACUUUCCUCAACUGGAAACAGUGAUAAAUCCAUGUCCCUCAUGAGGCUGACCGAGGGCUUUCGCACAGGCAUCUCCUUGCUCUUCCCCAAGCUCCUUAUCGGCUCCACCUCAGUGGAGCGGGGGAGGGCGAAGACAGACGUGAAGUGGGAUGGCUGAUGGCCGGCACCCUGGGACCAGGAGCCAGAUGGCUGACUCUUCCCUCCCUGCCCUGUUCAUAAAACUGCACCUCCCGGCUCUGAGAAGUUCGUAAUUUCUACCUCCUUUCACUGAGAGACACUAGAAGAGGCAGGGGCUGCCAAGCCUAGGGUGAUGGUAGGGCUGACUGCCCUGGGGCCAGGCUAAGGAGGGUCUGAAUAGCUGGGGCUGCAGGGUCCUCAAUGGGAGUGAUCUUGGCUUUUAAAGCCAACAUCUGCUCUUCACGUGGAUCAGCCUCAACUGAGUGGCAGCCCUCUCUUCUUCUUCCACCCAGAGCCCUCUAUUUAAGGAACAGGCGCCUGCCUCCCUCAGCCCACCUCAGGCUCCCCCUGAAGCAACUGAAGAGCACCUGGCCCAUCCUGUCCUCUCCAGCCUGAUGCCACUUCAAGAAUUUUCAGCUGCAAUUGUUGCCAUAAAUUGAGCGUUUCCAUGUGUUUGGUCAGAUGUCCCAAGUUGAAAUAAGUUCCCUAGCUUAUUUCUUUGAGCCGGACCACGUAAUUCAAAGGCUAUGGCUAACCUAGGAACUGGCUGUCCCUGGUUCAAUCAGAUGACGUGAAGCUGGUGGCCUCCCAGGGUAUAGGAAGUUGGGGCUUUUGUGGCUUCUAUCUCAUCACUUCAACCUGGUGCCCAUGUAGACCUCACAGAGAAUGCCCUGGAAUUGUGUAACAGGACGAUUCUGGUCCCGGCAAUCCUGUAGGGUAUGCAGGACAGGGAGUAUUUAUUUUAUAGAUAUGAAAAGCAAGACUUGAAAAGAGUAAGCCAGUUGCCCAAGCCUUUUCCCUAUAAUCAGUAGUCCAUCAGCUUUGCCUGCCAGACAUACUUUUACCAAUUCUCAAUCAUUCUCUGAGGUCCCUACUCCGCUUUGCCUGUGGGAUGCUCUCAGCCAGGUCCCUCCGACCAGCCCUCUCAAGUAACCAUGGUGACAAGGCACUAGUUCUCCUUGUCCAGCUUAGAGCCUCACCCACAUGCUUCACCAUAUCUCCAGGUGUUGAGUGCAUAAACCGUAUCUCCAUCCCUCUCCCUGAUGACCUGGUCCCUCUCCAUGAGCUAUCGCCUGGCCAGCCUCUACGCAUCCUUCAUGCCACCUUCAAGGUGUUCCUCAAGAGCUGGAAAUAAUGAAAGAAGAGACCACCAGCCAGGAAACAGACUGCCAGCAAUUUUUGCACUGGAGAGUUUAAAACAGCCCCAGUAUGGCGGAACCCUGCUUUGUGGAUGUGGAGUUGUUUUAUGUAUAAACAAACUUCUCUCUUCAGCCACUGCCCCCUACCCUUGCAGACAUCAUGUCAAUUGCCUCCACAUAAUGUGCUCUGAUUUCCCCACUGUGAUUCGUAAUGGACUAUUAAGCCAAUGUGGCCCCAUGAAUCUCAGCCUACGAGGCAGCAAUCACAAGCAAGCAGUUUGAAAUGACUUUCCCUGGAUGAGGCCACAAACAGAGACCAAAACUCAGGUUAAGGCCUAUUGCAAGACGCCAGUCUGAGUGGGGUCAAGAGUAAAGGGGCGGAUUGUGCCGUGGGCCAGGGAAAUCACUGGUUCCUGGCAAUUAGGACCCAGCAAGCCUCACAGAAGAAGGCAGACUCCAUUUUCUUCUCUGCACUUAGGGCGAUGACAGCCGUGUAACCAUUUCUUGCGGGAUGAUAGUAACGCAGGCAUCAUUCAUCAAGCUCUCCUCUGGGUCAGGCACCACUGAGAACUGAAUGGACACUGUUUCACUUGUUCUCCACAAAGACCUGAUGCAGAAGCUUCUCUUACUAUCCCUGUUAUAUACCUAAGAACCUGAAUCUGGGUGAGCAUAAGCCACUUGCCCAAGCUUGCAGAGCCAGUGCAUGGUGGAGCCAAGAGCCAAGCUCUGGCAGCCUGAAUCCAAAGCCCAGUUCAGGACCCACUCUGCCUCAUUCCUUCUAUGUGAUCUGGACAAGAACCAAGCCUCUUAGUGGCUUUAUCACUACUUCACAGACUUAUUACAAAGAUUAAAUCUUAUAACAUGUCUCAAAGUGCUUUUAGAAACCAUGACAUUGACCAUAUGAGCUAUUAGUGUUGCUGUUGUAUGAAGAACUCUGGUCCUAUUACCAGCUGGCUAACCGAGAUGUCCCAACUGGCUUUGUGAAUUGGUACCGCGGAGUUUCAACUUUUCAACAUAGAAUGAUGCUAUUAAUACAUGGCCACCUUCUCACCUUGUUUCCUGCCAACUUGGUUGUCCAAGUUGUUGUAAAGCCCUAGUGAGCCGAGGCCCCUGGGUGUCCUGAGGACCCACAGUGUGCCAUAUGAAUGGAAAGCAUUUAUUAUGAUGGCGAUUGUGCUGAGAUGCCCUCUCUGGAGAGCUGCCAGCUCUUUACAGACACAGUUCAUUCAUUCUCCUAAGCAGACCCAGAUGGACCACCCUGGGGAACCAUCUGGCUGUGUAGAUGUGCCGGAUCAGCUUCAGAGAGUUGUGGAGACUGGCUCACUGGGAUAGGGGCAGAAUCCUGUAACUUACACUUGCAACCCAUGCCCAACCUGGCUGAGGCUGUGUUGUCCCUGAGAGAAGGGAGUAGACUUCCUCACUGCAAACUUCCCCAGUCCCCAGGGACCGGUUUGUCAGCCCACAUCAAGUUAAUGAGAAGACCAUCAGGGUGACACAGAAAAGCCCCACAGCUGUUCCUUGCAGCCAAACCCUUACAGCAGAGGCUCUCGAGAUGAGGUUACAGGACAAACACUAUGAUAAUUUGCAUAAUUAGAAGUACAAGUUAUCAGGAUCUAGACCUACUUUGUGAAGGAUUCUGGAGGUUUUAAGAAUGAUUUUGAUGCAUGUUGAAAUUCAAGCACCACUUUCUUAAUUUGCAGUUUCAGAUGCAGAGCUCAUCUGUGACUCGUGGAAGGCACCCUGCAGAUGUGGAGGGUUAGCUUUAUGGCAGCCCAGCUCCUGAGCAGUUGUUAUUCCCAGGGCUGGAGGCUGAAAGGCAAUAGAAGUUAAAUUCUCCCCGCCCCAAAACCCCACUAUUGCCCCUUCCUUAUCCCCUGGUGCCCAAUUAACCCCUGCAUCUUAGGAGUAGAUGGGACCAUAACCCGGUUCUUUAAUAAUUAUUUUAUGGUCUUAUUAAAUGUAAGAGGAGACAGGCUUCCCCAAAUCUUUUGCUUAGAGCCCAGAAUUGACCUAAAUCUCCUUUCUGCCUUUAAGAAAAGUACCAAGGCCUUAGCUGCGGUCAGACCCCAGCAGCUUAGAGAAUCAGCUGUUACCCCCAUCCCACCCCAUCCAAAUAAAAUGAUUAUUUUCAGUGGUCCUAUUUGCUAUUUCUUCCAAAUGCUGAUGGAACUGCUCCCACCUUUAUUGCUAAGCAGGGAAAUCUGCUCUGACAGGUAGUUAGUUCCAGGUUAAUUAAUAACCAGGAUGUGAUCAGAAGCAAGUAGGCACACUUUCUGUUUAGUCUGGCUUCCCCCCAACAAUAUUGACUUAUCUGACUUGGGAACUCAGGGCUAGAGAGCAUACUGUGUUUCAUUUAUCUCUAUAGUCUCACACAGCUUGUGGAGGCGACUCUGUAGCUGCUUUGAUUGGGGGGAAUCUGCCUUGGGUUCGUCAGAGGAUUAUCAGCAGAGCUUAGGUUGAAGAACACAGGGUUCAGAGCUGAGCUGCAGCUGCCAGGCAGCAACCCAGGAGGGCUGGGUUUUGCCAAGGUCCCAGUGCCUGCAAGGAUGCAGAUCUGACUCAUGAUGCAGGUCAGGGAAAGCUUGACACUGGCCUGGAGUGAGCAGGAAAUGCUACCAAAGGAUGUUGGCACUGGCUUUAGUGGAAAAACCAUUGCUGUCCCCUGUCCGUAUCAUCAGGGACAUCUCCACCAUGAGGAGGGAGGGGAAAGGGGAGGAGCCCUCCACCCCAGGUUUUGGAACCUGAAAGACAGAUCCAAGCUGUUGAGUGGUCUCUGGCAAUUUAUUAGAUCCUUGAAAAUGCUUUCUCAUCUGGAUUAGGGAGAGAGUGAAACAUACAUUGCUGCGUUGCUGUGAGCAUCAGGUGAGCUAUCACAGACCACAUAGGGUCACUUUCUCUUCUCAAUGGCCCCUCUGAGAACUCAAUACUUUGAGGUAAGGAUAUAGGAUUCAGGGGCCCUAAAAUUUGAGGGAAAUAGAUUCUAGAUUAGUUGCAUAAUGGCUUGCAGAGUAAGUAAAAAAAAAACACACAGAAUGAUCUGGCCACACCAAUCCUUCACAUUAGGCUUGAGCCUGGAAGCUGGCAUUGGCCAUUGGCUCUGAUUGGCUUCUUGGAAGUUUGUCAUGAGUCCCUUCACAUCUAGACAUUAGCCCCAAUCAGUAUCCUCCCCAUUGCAGUUCCCAACCCAGCCUUCAGGGUCUGGCCUCUAAACCUAAUGGGUGGCAUGCUCAAGAACUGAAAAGGAGAAAGAGUCCAUACCACAUGAUUCCAUGUAUCUAAAAUGCAACCGAAUCUAGAGUGACAAAAUGCAGACCAGUCACCAGGCCCAGGGAUGGAAGGAAAGGAUGGACUGCAAGGGAGCAGGAGGAAUGUCUUGCGGUGAUGGAGAUAUUCUGUAUUUUAUUAUGUGAUGGAAUCACAGGUGUAUAUUACUGUCAUGCUUCAUCAAUUUUUAUGCUUUAAAUGAAUGUGACUUAUUAUACAUAAAAUAUUCUUCAAUAAGGUUGACAGGAAAAAAAAGAAAGGGGGCGAGGUCCUGAAAAUUAUUGUGAUGAUGAGUCAGCAAAUGUAGGCCACCCAUUUACUCUG
rnacentral:lncRNA from 1 species